UUUCCUUAUUUAAUCGAUCCAGAGCUUAUCCCCGUAGAGACUGACGUCCGACAAUUUCGGACUGAGAUAUGAAGUUAAUACUUUAUAUCACACGCCAGCCUUAUUUAUUAAAAAUAAGGAAGUUAUAGUCCAUGCUUCUAGAAAUAGAAAG
rnacentral:autocatalytically_spliced_intron from 2 species